AGCCGGGUUCGUGCCGCCAUGGGGCAGAUCGAGUGGGCUAUGUGGGCCAACGAGCAGGCGCUGGCGUCCGGCCUGAUCCUCAUCACCGGGGGCAUCGUGGCCACAGCUGGGCGCUUCACCCAGUGGUACUUUGGUGCCUACUCCAUUGUGGCGGGCGUGUUUGUCUGCCUGCUGGAGUACCCCCGGGGGAAGAGGAAGAAGGGCUCCACCAUGGAGCGCUGGUGAGUCUUCUCCUGCUCUGGGGUCUCUCCUGGGGCUGUGGGGCCCAGGCAGGGCUCACAGGGUCAGGUGGAGCCUGGUUCCUCACUUGGAGGCUCCGGAAUCAACCCUUUGGUGCUUGUGGGUAAACCAAGGCCGGUGCCUGCCCAGUGUGUUUUCUGGGAGGAAAGAGGCCUGGGUGCUCUGGGGUGGUCAGCAGGGCAGCAGGGGAGUCCUGAGUGGGAGAGGCCCAGCCGCGCUGUCUCCCCUUCCUCCCUCCCCCAGGGGGCAGAAGUAUAUGACUGCCGUGGUGAAGCUGUUCGGGCCCUUCACCAGGAAUUACUACAUUCGGGCCGUCCUGCAUCUCCUGCUCUCGGUGCCCGCCGGCUUCCUGCUGGCCACCAUCCUUGGGACCGCCUGCCUGGC
rnacentral:sRNA from 1 species